UGACCUCAAAUCGGGUGAGACUACCCGCUGAACUUAAGCAUAUC
rnacentral:rRNA from 13 species